UACGGGGGGGGCAAGCGUUGUUCGGAAUUACUGGGCGUAAAGGGCUUGUAGGUGGCCAACUAAGUCAGACGUGAAAUCCCUCGGCUUAACCGGGGAACUGCAUCUGAUACUGGAUGGCUUGAGUUUGGGAGAGGGAUGCGGAAUUCCAGGUGUAGCGGUGAAAUGCGUAGAUAUCUGGAGGAACACCGGUGGCGAAGGCGGCAUCCUGGACCAACACUGACACUGAUGAGCGAAAGCCAGGGGAGCAAACGGG
rnacentral:rRNA from 1 species